AAGCGCAUUUGUCGGCGCGGAAGAACUACAUGCCGACAAUCGCGCAUUGCUUUCGACUUGUGACCGCGGAGGCACUGGCUCAAGUUUUGAGAGCGAAAAGACAGAAGGCCGGGGCCAGGUGCUCCGGCCUUUUUGUUA
rnacentral:sRNA from 18 species